GGGCUCUUGGCACAGGGGUAGCGCGCACGCUUCGCAUUGUGCAAAUGCGUGAGGUCGUGGGUUCAAUUCCCACAGUGUCCA
rnacentral:tRNA from 1 species